GUUGGAAGUGUGCGCCUGCUGUGUGCGGCCUAAUAAUACGUCCCUCUGUCUUCCUUCUUCUCUGUUUCAAAGAAAACAAACAAUGGUGGCUCGCUGCACCUAUAAAUCAGACGAUUUAGUCAUUAAAUCACCCAACGAUAGGCGUCUCUACAGAGUUAUUGAGCUCGACAAUGGUCUCUGCGCUUUGCUUGUUCAGGAUCCCGAGAUUUACCCUGACGACGAUUCUAAAACCCUAGGAAACUCCCCUCAACAAGAACAAUUAGUAGAAGAGGAUGAUGAUGAUGAUGAGGAAGAAGAUAGCGAAGAAGGGGACGAUGAUGAUGAUGAAGAAGAAGAACGGCCCAAAGCCAGACUUGAAGAUAAAGGGGGCGAGACAACUUUGUCUAAGGCAACACUCAGGUCAGACAACCAGGAAAUAUCGAAGGAAGAACUACGAAGGCAGCACCAGGCUGAACUUGCCCGGCAGAAGAAUGAAGAGACAGCCAGGAGGCUUGCUGGUGGGGGGUCUUCCGCGUCAGACAAUCGAGGUUUUGUGAAGACGAUUGGUGAUUUGAUUGCAUAUAAGAAUGUCAAUGACCUACCCCCUCCAAGAGACUUGAUGAUUCAGAUUGACCAGAAGAAUGAGGCUGUUCUAUUGCCAAUUCAUGGAACCAUGGUCCCUUUCCAUGUUGCUACUGUCAAGAGUGUGUCCAGCCAGCAGGAUAGUAAUCGAACCUGCUACAUACGGAUAAUAUUUAAUGUUCCUGGCACCCCGUUCAGUCCUCAUGAUGCAAACACUCUCAAGUUUCAAGGGUCAAUAUAUUUGAAGGAAGUUUCGUUUCGCUCCAAGGAUUCUAGGCAUAUAAGUGAAGUGGUACAACAGAUUAAAACCCUGCGUCGGCAGGUCACUUCCAGAGAGUCUGAGAGGGCUGAAAGGGCAACCUUAGUUACUCAGGAAAAGCUGCAAUUUGCAUCUGCCAAGUUCAAGCCUAUAAAAUUGCUAGAUCUUUGGAUUCGCCCUGUCUUUAGUGGUCGUGGAAGAAAGCUGACUGGUUCACUUGAAGCCCAUGCAAAUGGGUUUCGAUAUUCAACUUCAAGGCCGGAUGAACGUGUUGAUGUUAUGUAUGGUAAUAUCAAACAUGCGUUCUUCCAACCAGCAGAUAAGGAAAUGAUCACUCUUCUGCAUUUUCAUUUGCAUAAUCACAUAAUGGUGGGGAACAAGAAGACCAAAGAUGUUCAAUUUUAUAUUGAGGUGAUGGAUGUGGUCCAGACUGUUGGAGGUGGAAAGAGAUCUGCCUAUGACCCAGAUGAGAUUGAGGAAGAACAACGGGAGAGGGACCGAAAGAAUAAAAUAAACAUGGACUUCCAGAACUUUGUAAACCGGGUGAAUGAUGUUUGGGGCCAACCUCAAUUCAAAGCCCUUGACCUUGAGUUUGAUCAACCCUUGAGAGAGCUUGGGUUCCAUGGAGUCCCCCAUAAAGCCUCAGCUUUUAUUGUCCCUACAUCAAGCUGCCUCGUUGAACUGAUAGAGACUCCUUUUGUUGUGAUCACCCUGAGUGAGAUUGAGAUAGUUAAUCUAGAGAGAGUUGGUCUUGGGCAGAAGAAUUUUGAUAUGACUAUUGUAUUUAAAGACUUCAAGAGGGAUGUCCUUCGGAUAGACUCUAUUCCAUCCACAUCGCUAGAUAACAUCAAGGAGUGGCUAAACACAACUGAUCUCAAGUACUAUGAGAGUAGAUUAAAUCUGAACUGGCGGCCUAUACUGAAAACAAUCACUGAUGAUCCAGAAAAAUUUAUAGAGGAUGGUGGUUGGGAAUUUUUAAACAUGGAAGUUAGUGACUCGGAUUCUGAGAACUCAGUGGACUCAGACCAAGGGUAUGAGCCUUCAGAUGUACAGUCUGACUCAGGAUCUGAAGAUGAGGGUGAUGACAGUGAGUCACUGGUGGAGUCUGAGGAUGAUGAGGAUGAGGACUCUGAGGAAGACUCAGAUGAGGAUGAGGGUAAGACAUGGGAAGAGUUGGAGAGAGAAGCAAGCUAUGCCGACAGGGAGAAGGGGGAUGACUCAGACAGUGAAGAAGAGAGAAAAAGAAGGAAGAUGAAGGCCUUUGGUAAGGCUCGAGCACCAGCUCGAGCACCUCAUAGAAGGAAUGCUAGCAGUAGUCUUCCCAAAAGGCCCAAGUUAAGGUGAAUGAAGGUGUCCGUCUUGUUUUAUUGAUAUGUCGAAGGUAAACAAGGUGUCUGUCUUGUCUUAUUGAUAUGUGGAAGGUAAGCCAGUUGGUGCUGCAUCGGUAGAUGGUAGAUGCCUAAUCUAGCCAGUAAAAUCUCUCUUAUGAGAGAGCACAAGUUGAAAAUGUUUUUGUUAUAGUGCUGUUCUGUUUGGAUCUGGAUCAAACUUGUUCAAUUAUAUAGUCUGUGCUUGUAAAAUAGUGGGUUGAGGGUCAUAAAUUUUAGCAGGUCAGUUGCUUGUAAUGCUUUGGAUAUAGUAACAGCCACUGGAUGCUAGUUAGUCUUCUUCGCAAUAUCCAGGCAUGGUGACAUGUGGUUUUAGUUGCCCGAGCUCAAUGGGGACGUUAUAUCCCUUUAAAUUAUGAAACUUGUCCGGCUGAUAGAAGAAAGAGUGGUAUAUUUUCUUUGUAGAGGUGUGAUCUGGUUUCUAUCUAUAUUGGUGCACGUCAAGAAUUGCGAUAUUCACUUCUCUGUACUGUAGAGUUGGUUUUUUACAUGAGUCGAGGUUAACCGACAGAUCAAAUAUCGCAAUUACAAAUGUUAAUGGUACAAAUAAAAAUGAUAACUAUUAAAAAGCCUUUGUAAUUUAAUAGAUGUGCAUGUGGUCUUA
rnacentral:misc_RNA from 1 species